rnacentral:misc_RNA from 1 species
UCGUACAACUGAGGUGCAAGGGCUGUCGCUGACCGUCAAAGGUCGUGCACGCCCGAGCGCUCUCACACAAUCCAUCUCUCCUUUGUGCAUCACCGCGUGGGUCCCCUUUGCGGGAGGGCUUGCGUUUUCACAUAAAAACUCGAUACAGUGUAGAAUGUUUCUUUUGCGGUCACACGCAAUCAAUA